AGUGAACGCUGGCGGCGUGCUUAACACAUGCAAGUCGAACGAGAACGGAUUAUAGCUUGCUAUAAUUGUCAGCUAAGUGGCGCACGGGUGAGUAAUGUAUAGGUAAUAUGCCUCUUACUAAGGGAUAACAAUUGGAAACGAUUGCUAAUACCUUAUAUUCCUUUUUAUCAAAAGAUAAAAAGGGAAAGAUUUAUUGGUAAGAGAUUAGCCUGUAUUGUAUCAGUUAGUUGGUGGGGUAAUGGCCUACCAAGACAAUGACGCAUAACUGGUUUGAGAGGAUGAUCAGUCACACUGGAACUGAGACACGGUCCAGACUCCUACGGGAGGCAGCAGUGGGGAAUAUUGCACAAUGGACGAAAGUCUGAUGCAGCAACGCCGCGUGGAGGAUGACACAUUUCGGUGCGUAAACUCCUUUAUAUAAGAAGAUAAUGACGGUAUUAUAUGAAUAAGCACCGGCUAACUCCGUGCCAGCCGCCGCAGUAAGAC
rnacentral:rRNA from 1 species